GGUUGUGGCUCAGUGGUAGAGCACGUGCCUAGCAUGUGUGAGACGCUGGGUUUGAUUACCGGCACCA
rnacentral:tRNA from 1 species